rnacentral:lncRNA from 1 species
CAAUCGAUUAUUUGCAUAAAAAAACGUGAAACUUGGCCUUUCGUGUAAUCAACCAUAUUGUUCAAGGGUAUUCAUGAUUCGGUUUUACUCUAUAACAUAACACCCGAGUGUUCUUUUUUAUUCGGUUUGGUUCAGUUUGAUUAAUUUCAGAUUUGGGUUCUAUGUUUAUGAAAGUCUCACGUGACAGCCAAUGAAACCACGUGCACUCCUAUGUUGCAUAUCUCAAUGAAUCUCAAUAUUUUCUGGUCUCAUAUGUGAUAUUUUGGGAUCCGACCCGAAUUCUUCGCUGCCCGAUUUCACUACAGGUUUAAUAUUAUGUCGAUGAACUGGGCUCAACGGAAAAUCUACCUUUACAAUGUCACUUUUGGACUAUACAUGUUGGACCCGUGGGAGCGUUAUUUGUUCAAUGCCGUGGUUGCUGUCUUGAUGUGGUUCAUAUUUUACAAUGGAUACCGUAACCUUGAUGAAAUCUGCAAAAGGUAUAUAUGGUGAAGCUUGAGCAUAGACUUGACUUGAAGAAGAAAAGGAGCCUGCAGUUGAAUGAUUUUUCUUUUAUGGUAACAAUUUCCCUCAUGGUGAACAGAUUUGCAUGUUGUAGCAGAUGUUUGUUUUACAAUGCUGAAGGAUUGAGUGAAUAUCUAAUGGUUUUUUGAAUUGAUAUGUAAAUUAUCGAACAUGAGUUGAUCACAUUUUUAAAACGAGACGGGUGCCAAGCACGCUGGUUGUGGACCGACUUGGGUCGUAUAGACCAAUGGAUGGUUAAUUUUGAUGGAUUAAAUACAGUUAUCUUGGUAAGGAUCAUCAUACAUCUUAACAAAUCAGGGACCACCGAUAAUAAACUAAAGACUUGUGAACAACCAAGCAACAAUAUCUAGCCUGGAUAAGAACCACGUGCCACCAAGUAACAAUAUUUGGCCAGGUUGGGGGAUCGCAUGCCACAUCACGACAACUACUUUAGAUACAACAAACUAGGGACCACCAAU